UACGUAGGGUGCGAGCGUUGUCCGGAAUUAUUGGGCGUAAAGAGCUCGUAGGCGGUUUGUCGCGUCUGCCGUGAAAAGUCCGGGGCUCAACUCCGGAUCUGCGGUGGGUACGGGCAGACUAGAGUGAUGUAGGGGAGACUGGAAUUCCUGGUGUAGCGGUGAAAUGCGCAGAUAUCAGGAGGAACACCGAUGGCGAAGGCAGGUCUCUGGGCAUUAACUGACGCUGAGGAGCGAAAGCAUGGGGAGCGAACAGG
rnacentral:rRNA from 1 species